GUCAGACUUGUACAUGAAAUCAUUAUCAUGUAUUUCUACUCUUUAAACCUAGAACAGAUGGAGCAACAUUGCACAAGGCUUAAGCACCUUUGUUCAAAAUUACAGUUUUGUGUGGCAUUUUACUAGGAAGUGCUUUAAAACCUUUUCAAGAUUUUAAAGAGUUGAUGAUGCUCAACCCUGCAAAAAUCACCUUUUAACACGAACAACUCCUCGGUGAACUAAGUUGCAU
rnacentral:lncRNA from 1 species